CCUUAUGAUCAAUGAAGUUAAGCGACGUCGUGCCUGAGCAGUACCAAGAUGGGUGACUGUUUGGGAAUACCAGGUGCUGUAAU